CAGAUUCUACCAUUUAUUACACAUAGGACAUUCUUAAAUAAAAAUGCUCCACUGAACAGCUCUUGCAUAGAUAUCUUACAAUACCAAUUUAAAAAAGAAUUAUGAAACAGACCAGUAACAAAAAUAAAUUUUUCUUCUUCCUUAAUAAAGAACAUUACCAUACUAACAUCAUAUAAUACAAAUAAUAAUAUUUUAAACACUUUGUACAGAAAAAAUAUGUAAACCAGGAAAUAAAGAACCCAAGAGAAAACCAAAAAGUAAUUGACCAUGACAGGAGCAAGCGGAAGGAAAGUGGAGGGGGGAGUGAGAGAGGGGUGGUGGGAGAGGUGGAGGAAUGGAGGGAGGGAUGGAGGGAGAGACACAGAGAGAAAGAGGGAGGGGUAAAGGAGGGAGAGAGGGAGGGGUGAGGAGUGGAGGCUGAUGAGUCUGGCAGAAAGGAGAGGUGAUGGUGUUGUUGGCAUUAUGGAGGGAUGGAGGAGGGAUGGAGAGAGUGGUGGAGGAGUCUGGUAGAAAGGAGAGGUGAUGGUGUUGUUGGCAUUAUGGAGGGAUGGAGGAGGGAUGGAGGGAGUGGUGGAGGAGUCUGGUAGAAAGGAGAGGUGAUGGUGUUGUUGGCAUUAUGGAGGGAUGGAGGAGGGAUGGAGGGAGUGGUGGAGGAGUCUGGUAGAAAGGAGAGGUGAUGGUGUUGUUGGCAUUAUGGGGCCCCUGCAGAAGGAAUGAAUGACAGAGAGGUGACAAUAGGAAAGGUGUUCCACUGUCAGACUGACCAGGUGUAGAGGCUGGACUGGGACUAGACUACCACGUGGAGGCUCAGAUGUACUGUUGCCGGUCUGAGAAAAGCCUUGGGGUUUAUCUCUGCUCUCAGACUGAGGUGUGUUGUUGGCUGGGUGGGUGGUCCCAUAGAAAUAGAAUGACUUGACUUGAAUAGGGAUGUCCGUUCUAGUAAUUGUAUUUCUAUUGCUGGCCCUUUGACUGAGUUGCACAUCCUGGUGCUGUCUCUCUAACCACAACUCUCCACUUGACAGAGGGUGAAGAGAACUCUAGAUUCUAGAAUUGGGAAUACAAUAGAACUCUAGAUUCUAGAAUUGGGAAUACAAUAGAACUCUAGAGUACUCUGCACUAGAUACUAGCAAGUCUGAGGGGACAAAACAUCUCAGGGGGACUAAGUCCCACAGGGUCUAUUCCUCUAUCUAUGUACUGUUCAGAGUAUGAUGCCUGGGCCCCAGAGUUGGAGUAGGAUUGGGGUUGAAGGGAAAGUGGGGAUGAGGUGGAGGGAUACAGAAAGACACAGGGGGUGGGAGAUUUGUCAAUCCCUUAUAUACUGACACAUUAAAUAUGGACAAACACAGCAGAUACAGACUCACUCCCUGAUGCAGGUGCACCCACAAGAACCAUGAGUUCAGGAAGAUAGUAGUCACCUGUUGAAAGUAGGACGUCUCCUUCCUUUAAAAAGUAGACAGUAAUGAACAUGCCCAGUUGAUAUUGCCCAUUUGAUGACAGUGGAGGGUCCAUAAUAUAGUAGUUACCCAUCAGUUUGAUUGGCUAAUAUCUAAAAAGAAACCAUCUAAUUGGUCUCCUCCCAAUUGGUUCUUGUGGUUAAGUGUAUCAGGAAGUGUCACAAUAUGUUAAGUUGAUAUUUGACAUUUGAGUGUUCCAACAGACUAAACUAGCAGUAAGUAAAUAGGUACACUAUGGAGUGUGCACAGUAAGUCACUGUAGUGAAAUGGUUGGGAAUCUAGAAGAACAGGAACAUUAAAAGAUUGUGUGAGAUGUAUUGUAUGUGUUUAAAUGCUGAAGCACUGUUGCCUAGUAGUGAACAAAACCCCCCUUAAGUUUGUUGUUGCCCUUUGUGAAGCCACUGAGUGGGAGAACUAUUACUAGAUGUAUCUACAAAGCUGCCAGAAGCCUCACCAAAGCGACCACCCUACCUCAUGGGGACCGAACGUGUGAGGCUUCAAGUUUGGAGAACGCUUAAGGUAGGUAGGUGUAUGACACCAUUGCUCUCGGGAUGGUUUUCCAAACGCUUAACCUAACAUUGACUUGGUGUUCUACCUCAGACAUGACCGUUUGAAAUAUUACACUCCACUGUACUAAGCUAUGGGAAACUAAGUCUACAUUAGAAUUGGUAGGGUGCUAGUUAAGUCGGCCUUGAAUUGGGCACCCUAAAGAGACUACACAACCAUAUUUUACAACCAUGAACGGACAAUGAGUUCAGCCACACUGAACAUCAAACAAGAUUGCAAUGCAGGAAGAAGUUGGGUCAGGGUUGGGGAGGGGGGACAAUAAUGGUGGAAUUGUAGUGGACAGUAAAACAAUUUAAUUCUCUAUCUCUCUCUAUUUUCAUUCACAGCAAUUCACUAAAAUCUUUGGGUGGAAGCGUAUAGGUGUGUAUCCAGCGUUCCUGCAGUUGAAUGUGCAUGGAUCACUACUGUGGGGUUGUAGAGAGAGA
ensembl:lncRNA